AGUGAACGCUGGCGGUAGGCCUAACACAUGCAAGUCGAACGGCAGCACAGUAAGAGCUUGCUCUUACGGGUGGCGAGUGGCGGACGGGUGAGGAAUACAUCGGAAUCUACUUUUUCGUGGGGGAUAACGUAGGGAAACUUACGCUAAUACCGCAUACGGCCUACGGGUGAAAGCAGGGGAUCUUCGGACCUUGCGCGAUUGAAUGAGCCGAUGUCGGAUUAGCUAGUUGGCGGGGUAAAGGCCCACCAAGGCGACGAUCCGUAGCUGGUCUGAGAGGAUGAUCAGCCACACUGGAACUGAGACACGGUCCAGACUCCUACGGGAGGCAGCAGUGGGGAAUAUUGGACUAUGGGCGCAAGCCUGAUCCAGCCAUACCGCGUGGGUGAAGAAGGCCUUCGGGUUGUAAAGCCCUUUUGUUGGGAAAGAAAAGCAGCAGGUUAAUACCCCGCUGUUCUGACGGUACCCAAAGAAUAAGCACCGGCUAACUUCGUG
rnacentral:rRNA from 1 species